rnacentral:lncRNA from 1 species
GUUUAAACUUGCGGUUGACUUUGAUGGUGACUGUGUACACAUUUAGAUUCUUGCAACUUAGAGUUUGCACAAAGAGAGAGGGAGGUUGUGUUUGGGGUGGUUCAAGUGCAUUAGGAGAGUUAUUUACUUGUGAAUGUUUUUACAUACCUCUUCUCAAAAUUUCUUAUUUAGUUUAUUAGGAUUUGUGUUUCUAUUUAUUUCCUUUAAGUUGAUUAUUCACCCCAAGAAUGGUUUCACAAACAAACAGCAGCCAAAGAUACUGAGAAAAUUACAACACCUUACUUAAGUCAUUAAUAAGCUACUGUAAAAUUUUGGAAGCCAUUGGAUCACCACAAAAAGAAUUACACGCAUAUCAUUAUUAAAGGUAGUAUGCAUUUAACUAUUUCUAUAUCAACACUUG